rnacentral:lncRNA from 10 species
CCCGAGUAGCUGGGAUUACAGGUGCCCGCCACAGCGCCCGGCUAAUUUUUGUAUUUUUAGUAGAGACAGUGUUUCACCAUCUUGGCUGUUACACGCCUCCGUAUAAGAGACCACCUGAGCAGGCUUAGUGGAGCAACAAGGCUGUUUAUUCACUUGGGUGCAAGUGGGCUGAGUCAGAGAAAGGAGUCAGCGAAGGGUGGUGGGAGUGGAACUGGUUCUAUAGGUUUGGGGUAGGUAGUGGAAAGUUACAGUUAGGGGCAGUUUUUUUGGGCAGGGGAAGAAUGUUACAAGGUGCAUAGUCACAAGGUGGGGGAAGUCAUAAGGCACGAUAUCACAAGGUGGAUGGAUUAGUUGGGGAAGGGCAGGAACAUAUCACAAGGUGGAUGGAUUAAUUAGGGUAGGGAAGGAACAUAUCACAAGGUGGAUGGAUUAGUUAGGGUAGGGCAGGAACAUGUCACAGUGGUGGAUGGAUUAGUUGGGGAAGGGCAGGAACAUAUCACAAGGUGGAUGGAUUAGUUAGGGUAGGGAAGGAACAUAUCACAAGGUGGAUGGAUUAGUUAGGGUAGGGCAGGAACAUGUCACAGUGGUGGAUGGAUUAGUUAGGGUAGGGCAGGAACAUGUCACAAGGUGGAUGGAUUAGUUAGGGUAGGGCAGGAACAUGUCACAAGGUGGAUGGAUUAGUUGGGGAAGGGCAGGAACAAUCACAAGGUGGAUGGAUUAGUUGGGGAAGGGCAGGAACAUAUCACAAGGUGGAUGGAUUAGUUGGGGAAGGGCAGGAACAUGUCACAAUGGUGGAUGGAUUAGUUGGGGAAGGGCAGGAACAUGUCACAAUGGUGGAUGGAUUAGUUGGGGAAGGGCAGGAACAUAUCACAAGGUGGAUGGAUUAGUUAGGGUAGGGCAGGAACAUGUCACAGUGGUGGAUGGAUUAGUUGAGGAAGGGCAGGAACAUGCCACAAGGUGGAUGGAUUAGUUGGGGAAGGGCAGGAACAUAUCACAAGGUGGAUGGAUUAGUUGGGGAAGGGCAGGAACAUAUCACAAGGUGGAUGGAUUAGUUAGGGUA